AUGAAAAAUGUGUUUACUGUUUCAAUUAAAGGUAAAGGUGGUGGCUUAGCUGUAUUUUGGGAUGAGUGUUUUACUAUGGAGUUAAACAAAUUUGGUGAGCAUUUUAUUGACAUGUAUAUCUCAAAUAGUGAUGGUUCAAAAUGGAGAUGCACUUUUGUUUAUGGAGAACCGAAGGCAAGUCAAAGGUAUGUCAUGUGGGAGCUCCUAAGACGGGUAAAAUCUCUUGGCUUUGGUCCAUUGUUUUUGGUGGGUGAUUUUAAUGAAGUAAUGUGGCAGCAUGAGCAUUUUUCUCGGCAUAAGAGGUCUUCUAAGCUCAUGGCAAACUUCCGCGAGAUUCUUUCAGAAUGCAAUCUAUUUGACUUGGGAUUUCAUGGGUUGCCAUGCACCUAUGAUAAUAAGCAG
rnacentral:rRNA from 1 species